rnacentral:rRNA from 1 species
CCUACGGGUGGCAGCAGUGAGGAAUAUUGGUCAAUGGACGCAAGUCUGAACCAGCCAUGCAGCGUGCAGGAAGACGGCUCUAUGAGUUGUAAACUGCUUUUGUACGAGGAUAAACGCAGAUACGCGUAUCUGUCUGAAAGUAUCGUACGAAUAAGGAUCGGCUAACUCCGUGCCAGCAGCCGCGGUAAUACGGAGGAUUCAAGCGUUAUCCGGAUUUAUUGGGUUUAAAGGGUGCGUAGGCGGGUGGAUAAGUUAGUGGUGAAAUCUCGAGGCUCAACUUCGGAAUUGCAUCUGAUACUGGUAGGCUAGAGAGUAGUAGCGGUAGGCGGAAUGUAUGGUGUAGCGGUGAAAUGCUUAGAGAUCAUACAGAACCCCGAUUGCGAAGGCAGCUUACCAAGCUACUUCUGACGUUGAGGCACGAAAGCGUGGGGAGCAAACAGGAUUAGAUACCCUGGUAGUC